rnacentral:rRNA from 1 species
GAAAAGAAACCAACAGGGAUUGCCUCAGUAACGGCGAGUGAAGCGGCAACAGCUCAAAUUUGAAAUCUGGCUCCCUUUCAGGGGGUCCGAGUUGUAAUUUGCAGAGGAUGCUUUCGGCGAGGCGCUGACCGAGUCCCCUGGAAUGGGGCGCCACAGAGGGUGAGAGCCCCGUAUGAUCAGAUGCCGAGCCGGUGUAAAGCUCCUUCGACGAGUCGAGUAGUUUGGGAAUGCUGCUCUAAAUGGGAGGUAAAUUUCUUCUAAAGCUAAAUACCGGCCAGAGACCGAUAGCGCACAAGUAGAGUGAUCGAAAGAUGAAAAGCACUUUGAAAAGAGAGUUAAAAAGCACGUGAAAUUGUUGAAAGGGAAGCGCCCAUGACCAGACCUGAUCUCAGGGGAUCACCCGCCGUUCUCGGCGGUCCACUCCCCUGUGUUUUCAGGCCAGCAUCGGUUUUCUCCGGGGGAUAAAAGCGCCGGGAACGUGGCUCCUCUCGGGGAGUGUUAUAGCCCGGCGUAUAAUGUCUCGGGGGGGACCGAGGACCGCGCCUUAGUUGCAAGGAUGCUGGCGUAAUGGUCACCGGCGACCCGUCUUGAAACACGGACCAAGGAGUCAAGCAUUAGGGCGAGUGUACGGGUGUAAAACCCGAACGCGCAGUGAAAGCGAACGCUGGUGAGAGCUUCGGCGCAUCACCGACCGAUCCUGAAGUCUUCGGAUGGAUUUGAGUAGGAGCCUUAACGCUUGGACCCGAAAGAUGGUGAACUAUGCCUGAAUAGGGUGAAGCCAGAGGAAACUCUGGUGGAGGCUCGCAGCGGUUCUGACGUGCAAAUCGAUCGUCAAAUUUGGGCAUAGGGGCGAAAGACUAAUCGAACCAUCUAGUAGCUGG